UCAGGAAACAGCUAUCACCAUGAUUACGCCAAGCUCAGAAUUAACCCUCACUAAAGGGACUAGUCGAGCAGGUUUAAACGAAUUCGCCCUUAGAGUUUGAUCAUGGCUCAGAACGUACGCUGGCGGCACGCUUAAUACAUACAAGUCGAAUGAAGUAGCAAUACUUAGUGGCAGACGGGUGAGUAACAUGUAGGUAUCUUCCCAUUGGUGAGGAAUAACACGAGGAAACUUGUGCUAAUACCUCAUAAGUCUUUACGGAGAAAGCUUUAUGCGCCGAUGGAUGAGCGUGCACUUGAUUAGUUUGUUGGUAGGGCAAUGGCCUACCAAGACAAUGAUCAAUAGCUGAUUUGAGAGGAUGAUCAGCCACAUUGGGACUGAGACACGGCCCAAACUCAUACGGGAGGCAGCAGUAGGGAAUCUUACACAAUGGGGGAAACCCUGAUGCAGCGAUGCCGCGUGAGUGAAGAAGGCCUUUGGGUUGUAAAGCUCUUUCGUCGGGGAAGAAAAUGACUGUACCCGAAUAAGAAGGUCCGGCUAACUUCGUGCCAGCAGCCGCGGUAAUACGAAGGGACCUAGCGUAGUUCGGAAUUACUGGGCUUAAAGAGUUCGUAGGUGGUUAAAAAAGUUGGUGGUGAAAUCCCAGAGCAAAACUGGGGAAGCGCCAUCAAAACUUUUUAGCUAGAGUAUGAUAGAGGAAAGCAGAAUUUAUAGUGUAGAGGUGAAUUUUGUAGAUAUUAGAAAGAAUACCAAGUCUGACGAAGGCAUGCUUUGCGUGGCAUCAUUACAUGACAGCUGAGGAGACGAAAGCAUGGGUAGCGCAGAGGAUUAGAUCCCCUCGUAGUCCACGCCGUAAACGAUGUGUGUUAGACGGGGAAAUUUAUUUUCGGUGUCGCAGCGAAAGCAAAAACAGCACCGGUCUUGGGGACCGA
rnacentral:rRNA from 1 species